AUACAUUCUAACGUCAGCACAUCAAACUAUCAAUUUUCUUCUAAAGAUUUUCGACCGUAUUAAAAAAAGUAUAAGGUUAAAAAUCUGUUAAAAGAAGAGGUAGCUUGAUGUGCUUUGCUUGCUUUAUCUUUACAUGGCAUUUGGUUCUAUGUUUAAUCUACACACAAUGUCUUGAAGGAGCCUGGUGUUCCUGAGUACUCCUCGUUGAACUUGGCACUCGGUCGCCGGGACUCGUCUGUGGUAGCUCCCUCCAUCCUCUUCACAGCUGCUAUGUGUUCAUCUGUACUAAUUGCCUUGAAAUCCAUUUCUGAAAAGAAG